rfam:Gossypium hirsutum cultivar TM-1 unplaced genomic scaffold scaffold683.1, whole genome shotgun sequence
UAUUAAAAUUUUCAUCCAUUUGUAUCAUUAAAAACUUGUCGAAAUUAUCAAAUACAUGUCACGUGAACCUCAUGUUAAUGUAUAAAGACCAAUUUUUAAUAGCAAAAAUGGAUGAAAUUUUCAAUA